rnacentral:rRNA from 1 species
GACGAACGCUGGCGGCGUGCCUAAUACAUGCAAGUCGAGCGGACCACUUCGGUGGUCAGCGGCGGACGGGUGAGUAACACGUGGGCAACCUGCCUGUAAGACGGGGAUAACACCGGGAAACCGGUGCUAAUACCGGAUAAUCCUUUUCUUCACAUGAAGGAAAGCUGAAAGACGGUUUCGGCUGUCGCUUACAGAUGGGCCCGCGGCGCAUUAGCUAGUUGGUGAGGUAACGGCUCACCAAGGCCACGAUGCGUAGCCGACCUGAGAGGGUGAUAGGCGACACUGGGAAUGAGACACGGCGCAGACUCCUACGGGAGGAAGCAGUAGGGAAUCUUCCGAAAUGGACGAAAGUCUGACGGAGCAACGCCGCGUGAGGGAUGAAGGCCUUCGGGUCGUAAAGCUCUGUUGUCAGGGAAGAACAAGUACCGGAGUAACUGCCGGUACCUUGACGGUACCUGACCAGAAAGCCACGGCUAACUACGUGCCAGCCGCCGCUGUAAAAC